CAGAAGAUGAUUUGAUGGAGAUGAGUGUUUACAAUCCAGUGCCAGAUGGUGAAGAAAAAGACGAAGAAGAAACAGCGCCAGAAAAUAAACUGACAUUAGGCAAUCUGUCAAAAGAGUUAUGUUGAAGACCGCUUUUGACUUCUUUUAUGACAUGGACCUUUCUACGAUAUGGGCACUGAAACUAAAGCAAAUGGUGGAAGAAGGUUUGGUUCCAUGUAGAAAUAUUUUUAGAGAACUGAAAAAGCAAAAUGAUAGGAAUUAUGAUGUUUCUGUAAAGUUACACCAAGUGUGCCUGCCUCUCCUGCCUCCUCUCUCAACUGUUACACAUUUUCCAUCUCUGUCACCCCUGAGAUAUCAAGACUAACCCCUCCUCUUUCUCCUCCUUCUUAGCCUACUCAAUGGGGAAACCAUGAGGAUGAAGACUUUUAUAAUGAUUCAUUUCCACUUCAUAAACAAGAAUACAGAGGCCUGAGAAGAGGAUGGGAGAUGGGGG
rnacentral:lncRNA from 10 species